rnacentral:rRNA from 1 species
CAGUAGCCGCGGUAAUACGUAGGUGGCAAGCGUUGUCCGGAAUUAUUGGGCGUAAAGGGCUCGCAGGCGGUUUCUUAAGUCUGAUGUGAAAGCCCCCGGCUCAACCGGGGAGGGACAUUGGAAACUGGGAAACUUGAGUGCAGAAGAGGAGAGUGGAAUUCCACGUGUAGCGGUGAAAUGCGUAGAGAUGUGGAGGAACACCAGUGGCGAAGGCGACUCUCUGGUCUGUAACUGACGCUGAGGAGCGAAAGCGUGGGGAGCGAACAGGAUUAGAUACCCCCGUAGUCCCUGUCUCUUAUAC